rnacentral:rRNA from 1 species
GCGACCCCAAGUCAAGCGGGAUCACCCGCUGAGUUUAAGCAUAUCAAUAAGCAGAGAAAAAGAAACUUACCAGGAUUCCCCUAGUAACGGUGAGUGAACCGAGAAGAGCCCAGCUUGAGAAUCGGGUGCCCCUGAUGUCUGAAUUGUAGUCUGGAGAAGUGUCCUCAGCGGUGAACUAGGCCCAAGUCCCCUGCAAAGGGGCACCGGAGAGGGUGAGAGCCCUAUUGUGCCUGGACUCUAUCGUAGCAUGAGAUGCUGUCAACGAGUCGAGUUGUUUGGGAAUACAGCCCGAAUUGGGCGAUAAAUUCUAUCCAAGGCUGAAUACGGGCGAGAAACUGAUAGCGAACAAGUACCGCAAGGGAAAGAUGAAAAGGACUUUGAAAAAAGAGUCAAAGAGUACUUGAAAUUGUUGGAAGGGAAACGGAUAGUGACUGAUGAUGCGCCCUGAUCGGAUGUAGAAUGACAAGAGUCGGUCCACCGAUUGGCUCGAGGUGUGGACCGCUGCGGGUCACGAUGGUGGCCAAGCCUGAGCUUUCAAUGUGCCCGCAGAGACGUCUUCAUCAUGAUCAUGGAAUGCAGCAGGCGCUGUCUCGAUGUGCCUCGACACCGUGUGCUCCUGGCAUCGACCUGUGGGCUCUCCAUCCAACCCGUCUUGAAACAUGAACCAAAGAGUAUGACAUGCAUGUGAGUCAAUGGGCCAAGAAACUCAUAAAGCACAAGGAAACUGAUUGGCAGGAUCCCUCACGGGUGCACUAUCGACCAACCUUGAUCUUCUGAGAAGGGUUUGAGUGCAAGCAUGCUCGUCGAGACCUGAAAGAUGGUGAACUAUGCCUGAGCAGGGCAAAGCCAGAGGAAACUCUAGUGGAGGCCUGCAGUGAUACUGAUGUGCAAAUCAUUCCUUGGACUUGGGUAUAGGGGCUAGAGACUAAUCGAACCGUCUAGUAGCUGGUUCCCUUCGAAGUUUCCCUUAGGAUAGCUGGAGCCCCCAGUGAGUUCUAUCGGGUAAAGCCAAUGAUUAGAGGCAUCGAGAGUGCAAUGCCCUCAAACUAUUCUCAAACUUUAAAUAGGUAGGAUGAUGCGGCUGCUUUGUUGAGCCAUGCCACGGAAUCGAGAGCUCCAAGUGGGCCAUUUUUGGUAAGCAGAACUGGUGAUGCAAGAUGAACUGAAAGUUGAGUUACGGUGCCCAAGUACACGCUAACACAGAACCCAUAAAAUGGUGUUGGUUGAUUAAGACAGCAAGACGAUGGUCAUGGAAGUCAAAAUCCGCUAAGGAGUGUGUAACAACUCACCUGUCGAAUCAACUAGCCUCGAAAAUGGAUGGAGCUUAAACGCGACACCUAUACCCAGUCGUCGGGGCAAGGGCCAAGCCUCGAAUGAGUAGGAGGGCAUGACAGUCAUUGUAAAACCCGGGGCACGAGCCCACACGAAACGAUCAUCGAUGUAGAUCUUAGUGGUAGUAGUAAAUAUUCAAAUGAAAACUUUGAAGGCUGAAAAGGGGAAAGGUUCCAUGUGAACGGCACUUGCACAUGGGUUAGUAGAUCCUAAGAGACGGGGAAAGCCCGUUCGAUAGAGCAACCCGUGAGAGCUUCGAAAGGAAAUCGGGUUAAAAUUCCUAAACCAGGAUGCGACGACUGACUGCAAUGUUAGGGAGUCUGGAGACAUCGGUGGGGGCCUCGAGAAGAGUUAUCUUUUCUAUUUAACGGCCCGCCCACCCUGGAAACGGCUCAACCAGAGGUCGCGUGGUGUCCGAUAUGCCCCCGGUGGCCCUUGAAAAUCUGAAGGACUGAGUGCCGUCCGUGCCCGGUCGUACUCAUAAUCGCAUUAGGUCUCCAAGGUGAAUAGCCUCUGGUCGAUGGAACAAUGUAGGCAAGAGAAGUCAGCAAAAUAGAUCCGCAACCUUGAGAAAAGGAUUGGCUCUGAGGGUUGGGCAUAGAGGUCUCAGUCUCGAACCCGUCGACUGUCGGUGCACUGUUCGAGCUGUUCCCGUGACGAGAAUGGGUCGUCGUGUUUCGAUCGGGUGACAGAUUGGGAAAGGCUCCCACCAGGGCCUUUCCAAGGCGACUAACAGUCAAUUAAGAAUUGGUAUGGACAAGGGGAAUCCAACUGUUUAAUUAAAACAAAGCAUUGGUGAUGGUCCUUGCGGAUGCUCACACAAUGUGAUUUCUGCCCAGUGCUCUGAAUGUCAAAGUGAAGAAAUUCAACCAAGCGCGGGUAAAUGGCGAAAGUAACUAUGACUCUCUUAAGGUAGCCAAAUGCCUCAUCAUCUAAUUAGUGUCGCGCAUGAAUGGAUUAACGAGAUUUCCACUGUCCCUGUCUACUACUAGCGAAACCACAGCCAAGGGAACAGGCUUGGUGGAAUCAGCGGAGAAAGAAGACCCUGUUGAGCUUGACUCUAGUCCGACUUUGUGAAAUGACUUGAGAGGUGUAGGAUAAGUGGGAGCCCCCGGGCAAAAUUGAAAUACCACUACUUUUAAUGUUAUUUUACUUAUUCCGUGAAUCGAAGGUGGGGCACGACCCUUUCUUUUAGACCCAAGGUCAGUUUCGGCCGAUCGAUCCGGGUGAAAGACAUUGUCAGGUGGAGAGUUUGGCUGAGGUGGCACAUCUGUUAAAAGAUAAUGCAGGUGUCCUAAGAUGAGCUCAACGAGAACAAAAAUCUCGUGUAGAAUAAAAGGGUAAAAGCUCAUUUGAUUUUGAUUUCCAGUAUGAAUAUGAACCGUGAAAGUGUGGCCUAUCGAUCCUUUAAACCUUCGAGAUUUGAAGCUAGAGGUGUCAGAAAAGUUUCCAUAGGGAUAAUCGGUUUGUGGCAGCCAAGCGUUCAUAGUGAUGUUGCUUUUUGAUCCUUCGAUGUCGGCUUUUCCUAUCAUUGUGAAGUAGAAUUCACCAAGUGUUGGAUUGUUCACCCACCAAUAGGGAACAUGAGCUGGGUUUAGACUAUCAUGAGACAGGUUAGUUUUACCCUACUGAUGGUGAUGGCAUGAUAGUAAUUCAACCUAGUACGAGAGGAACCAUUGAUUCACAUAAUUGGUCAUCGCAUUUGGUUGAAAAGCCAAUGGCAUGAAGCUACCAUGCGUUGGAUUAUGAUUAAACGCCUCUAAGUCAGAAUCUGGGCUAGAAGUGAUGCGCGUGCCCAUCGCCCGAUUGUUGACUCGCAGUAGGGGCCCAUGGCCCCUAAGGGCACGUGUCGUAGGUGCAGCCCCCGUGAUGGAUGAGCCGUACGGGCCUCCUUAGAGCUCAAUUCCCACCGAA